AAAUGCGCUGGAUAUUUCGUCUUUUUCAUACAAUUUCUCUGCUCAUAAUUUAUGACAUGCUUUGAAAAUCUCCACAAUAUAGCAUGACUAUGUCCUUUAAACACUGGCACAAUUGGUGGUUUGUAAUCCGCUUAUUUAAUUCAAAUUAUUCCCCUUGAAAGACACUGUUUCGUUUGAGCAGUUCACAGGUAGCGCAACCUGUCUCGUAGUGUUCAUCUUCAAUGGCUAUUAAACGCUGUAAAUCAAAAUGAAAUCGUGUACUAAUGGAUGUCUUCAAUCGAAGAAGGUUCGGAAAUGAUAUUUCCACAUGCUUAAAAUAGGUUGGGAAGUUACGGUCUUGGCGAACAGCAUUCUCACUUUCAGUGUGACAACUGUUGCGGCCAAAAUAAAAACAACAUAGUCAUCUGGUACCUUCUGUGGGGAGUUCUUGUAGGUUUACACAGAAUCAUCACACUAAGCUUUAUGUUGAUAAGACAUACAAAGUUUACACCAGAUUGGCACUUUGGCAUCUGGAAGUCAAAGUGGAGAAACUUCAAUGCAGAAAUGUUGUCUGAUGUCGCUGCGUCUGUGGGGUUAUCGUCAAGGACGGGCCACAACAUCCCCCAGCUUGUGGGGGACUCUUCCAAUCCUGUUGUUAUCUAAGACAGGAAUGAUUACCUUACGACAUUGUUUCACCACAUAAAGAAUGUCACCAAAUUUCAUCAAUUUCCAUGUGUCAGCGGAGCAUCCCGGUGUUGUGGAAUGCAGGGAAUUUAGUGACUCACCAGUAAUCAGAAUCACUCUCAGGAAGGUCUCGAAAGUGAAUGUUAAUGUGAGCUGUGACAACCUGCCAUAAGCUGAAAUUGCAAGUCCACUUCACAAUCUUUACUAUGUUUCACUAAAUACUGGUAAUAGGGUCACACGGAUU